GGUAGGAUUGGAGACACGGAGCUUUCGAUGAAGCCGGGGCGUGAGCCAUCCGGUGGAGAGAUCACUAGCGAGAAUGAUGACAUGAGUAGCGACAAAGAGUGUGAGAGACACUCUCGCCGAAAGUCCAAGGGUUCCUGCUUAAAGCUAAUCUGAGCAGGGUAAGCCGACCCCUAAGGCGAGGCCGAAGGGCGUAGUCGAUGGGAACCAGGUUAAUAUUCCUGGGCCAUGAGGUGGUGACGGAUCGCAGGUGUUGUUCAUCCUUAUUGGAUUGGAUGAGCAGCUGAGCGGUUCCUGGAAAUAGCCCCUCUAUAAGAUCGUACCCUAAACCGACACAGGUGGACAGGUAGAGAAUACCAAGGCGCUUGAGAGAACUAUGCUGAAGGAACUCGGCAAAUUACCUCCGUAACUUCGGGAGAAGGAGGCCUCACUCUAGGCAACUAGAACUGAGGGGCACAGACCAGGGGGUUGCGACUGUUUAUCAAAAACACAGGGCUCUGCGAAGCCGCAAGGCGACGUAUAGGGUCUGACGCCUGCCCGGUGCCGGAAGGUUAAAAGGAGGAGUGAGAGCUCCGAAUUGAAGCCCCGGUGAACGGCGGCCGUAACUAUAACGGUCCUAAGGUAGCGAAAUUCCUUGUCGGGUAAGUUCCGACCUGCACGAAUGGCGUAACGACUUCCCCGCUGUCUCCAACAUCGACUCAGCGAAAUUGAAUUGCCUGUCAAGAUGCAGGCUUCCCGCGGUUAGACGGAAAGACCCCGUGCACCUUUACUGCAGCUUGGCUGUGGCAUCGGAAAUAGUAUGUGUAGGAUAGGUGGGAGGCUUUGAAGCUAUGGCGCCAGUCGUAGUGGAGCCAUCCUUGAAAUACCACCCUUACUCUUUUCGAUGUCUAACCGCGCCCCUGGAUGGGGCCGGGACCCAGCCUGGCGGGCAGUUUGACUGGGGCGGUCGCCUCCUAAAGAGUAACGGAGGCGCGCGAUGGUAGGCUCAAGCCGGUCGGACAUCGGCUGUUGAGUGCAAUGGCAUAAGCCUGCCUGACUGUGAGAUCGACAGAUCGAGCAGAGACGAAAGUCGGUCAUAGUGAUCCGGUGGUCCCGAGUGGAAGGGCCAUCGCUCAACGGAUAAAAGGUACGCCGGGGAUAACAGGCUGAUGAUGCCCAAGAGUCCAUAUCGACGGCAUCGUUUGGCACCUCGAUGUCGGCUCAUCGCAUCCUGGGGCGGUAGUACGUCCCAAGGGUUGGGCUGUUCGCCCAUGAAAGCGGUACGCGAGCUGGGUUCAGAACGUCGUGAGACAGUUCGGUCCAUAUCCGGUGUAGGCGUUAGAAUAUUGAGAGGAGCCUUCUUUAGUACGAGAGGACCGAGAAGGACAUACCUAUGGUGUACCAGUUAUCGUGCCAACGGUAAACGCUGGGUAGCUAAGUAUGGAGUGGAUAACCGCUGAAAGCAUCUAAGUGGGAAGCCCACCUCGAGAUGAGUAUUCUCAUCACGAAAGUGAGUAAGGUCACGGUAAGACUAACCGUUUAAUAGGCAUUAAGUGUAAGUACAGUAAUGUAUGUGCUGAGAUGUCCUAACAGACCGAGGACUUG
rnacentral:rRNA from 1 species